GAUCAUGGCUCAGGAUGAACGCUAGCUACAGGCUUAACACAUGCAAGUCGAGGGGAAACGACAUCGAAAGCUUGCUUUUGAUGGGCGUCGACCGGCGCACGGGUGAGUAACGCGUAUCCAACCUGCCCACCACUUGGGGAUAACCUUGCGAAAGUAAGACUAAUACCCAAUGAUAUCCCACGAAGGCAUCCGAAUGGGAUUAAAGAUUUAUCGGUGAUGGAUGGGGAUGCGUCUGAUUAGCUUGUUGGCGGGGUAACGGCCCACCAAGGCAACGAUCAGUAGGGGUUCUGAGAGGAAGGUCCCCCACAUUGGAACUGAGACACGGUCCAAACUCCUACGGGAGGCAGCAGUGAGGAAUAUUGGUCAAUGGGCGAGAGCCUGAACCAGCCAAGUAGCGUGCAGGAUGACGGCCCUAUGGGUUGUAAACUGCUUUUAUAAGGGAAUAAAGUGAGUCUCGUGAGACUUUUUGCAUGUACCUUAUGAAUAAGGACCGGCUAAUUCCGUG
rnacentral:rRNA from 1 species